rnacentral:rRNA from 1 species
UACGGAGGGUGCAAGCGUUGUUCGGAUUUACUGGGCGUAAAGAGCUCGUAGGCGGUUUGUUGCGUCGGCUGUGAAAUCCCGAGGCUCAACCUCGGGUCUGCAGUCGAUACGAGCAAACUAGAGUGUUGCAGGGGAGACUGGAAUUCCUGGUGUAGCGGUGAAAUGCGCAGAUAUCAGGAGGAACACCGGUGGCGAAGGCGGGUCUCUGGGCAACAACUGACGCUGAGGAGCGAAAGCGUGGGGAGCGAACAGG